rnacentral:rRNA from 1 species
UGGGGAAUCUUGCGCAAUGGGCGAAAGCCUGACGCAGCGACGCCGCGUGGGUGAUGAAGGCCUUCGGGUUGUAAAGCCCUGUGGAGAGGGACGAAUAAGUUCGACCUAAUACGUCGGGCGAUGACGGUACCUCUUUAGCAAGCACCGGCUAACUCUGUGCCAGCAGCCGCGGUAAGACAGAGGGUGCAAACGUUGUUCGGAAUUACUGGGCGUAAAGGGCGUGUAGGCGGUCGUGCAAGUCGGGUGUGAAAGCCCAGGGCUCAACCCUGGAAGUGCAUUAGAUACUGCAAGGCUAGAGUCCCGGAGAGGAUGGUGGAACUCUCGGUGUAGAGGUGAAAUUCGUAGAUAUCGAGAAGAACACCGGUGGCGAAGGCGGCAAUCUGGACGGUGACUGACGCUGAGACGCGAAAGCGUGGGGAGCAAACA